ACUUACACAGAGAAUACUAUAAAUCACUGAUAACACCUCCCCCAUGUACAUCUAUCAGUGACUGACAGCUAUCUCUGUAUACAAACUUACACACGCAGUACUAUCAGUCACUGAUAACAUUUCCCCCGUGUACAACAAAAGUUGCAAAAAGCGGAGAAAUAAAUGACAAGUUUUACUGAAUCUUUUGCCAUAAAACUGUAACUAAAUCUGCUCAGCUCCUCCUGCUCUAUAACAAGCUGCCGGCAGAUUGUGCUGCAUUUCGUGGAUACAAGAUCUCUUUAAAGCCAUACAUUAACAUAUAGUGUAACCACUUCUACAUCACUGGAAUGGCCAUUGUAUAUAUACUUUAUAUUCAAUAUGAUCAUGUGUUUAUACUUAUAGAUUGUACAUAUGUAAUAUAUUUUGGUUUUUCUUCUCUUUUCGGGACACAUAAGAGAAAUAAGUAUUUUAGCAGUACCAGGAACAAUUCAGUGUUUUAUAAAAACACUAAACUUAGAAAUGUGUGCUAAAAGUAUACAAGAAAUAUAGUUGUCUUCACUUUGUCAGUCUGCAGUGAUUUCUGCAUGAUCCAGACACAUACAGUCUUGUAGAAAUCCUGAGGUUACAGGGAUUGUACCAUUACAACAACUUAUCCCCUAUCCACAGCAUCUGAUUGGUAGGAUCCUACUCCUGGGGCCCCAUUAUUCACAAGAACAGGGUCCCUUGUUCACCUGUUUGAAUGGACCGGCAAACACACAUGUGCGCUGCUUCUCCAUUCAACCCUGUGGGGCUGCCUGUGAUAACCAAACGCUUGUACCCAGCUAUCACUGACAGUCCCAUGGAAUUGAAUGUGCUCCAUUCAAAUGGUGGAACACAGAUCCCUGUUCUUGUGAUAUUCGGGGCCCAGGUGGUUGUACCCCACCGAUCAGACACUUAUUCCCUAUCCCGUGGAUAGGGGAUACAUUUUUGUAGUGAGACAACCCCUUUAAACUCCUGCUGAUUGUUCUUUUUUUGACUUGUGAUUGACUU